rnacentral:tRNA from 1 species
GGUGUGUAGCUCAGGGGUAGAGCACAUACCUAGCAUGCUUCAGGCCUUGGGUUCUAUCCCCAGCACCA